ACGUUGGCGAGUUGGGGUCAGCCGACCCCGACGACUUCACAGUUGCACCUUAUACACGUCGAUUUUCUACCAGCCAAGACCCCGGCAAAAAAACAUCGUGACCCCGGCACCCCGCACUCGGCAGCCCAAAACGCUAUGGCCCAACGAGUAUUUACUCCUCUCCUUUUGUCAAUACUCAAUAGUCAUCAACGAAAAUACGAAACGCAUGCAGUCCAACCUGUACUAGCAUACCACGUCCACACCAGAAGCCCAUAUUUGUACGUUCUGCCUGUUGGACGUCAGGGGUGGAGGCUAGCAAGUAGCAAGUAGCAGCAACCCAAAAGGCCAAAAGUCUUUUGUCUCUUGAUCCAGGGUUCAGGCGGCUAGCAGAACAACAAUCUGACGAUUGCUCUCCCGGCGGCGUUAUUUGCUAGUUUGCUUCGUCAAAACUGUGCUGUGCGUCUCCCCGAUGCGGCGACGUCCCUACUGCCUACUCCCUUCCACUCCAUAGUUCCACUCUUCCCUUCCACUCUUCCAGGCUUCCUCGGUCAAUCGUUCUCUCAAGUGAUCAAGUCUCAACCUCGGAUUUUCUCGCGGUGUUCGCCUGUUCGGCAUCAAAUUCCAAGGCUGCUGGUCUGGAUAAGCUGAUGAGUUACAUAUAACCAGAGGCAAGCACCAAGCAGUUAGUCUCCACAUUUUUUGCUCGUGACUUUGGUUCAAGCAGAGAGGUUGUCGUUGCUCUUAUUCAAGGAAAUGUCAAGCAACCAAAGCAAGUUGGAACGAUUCUUGAAAAGGAAAAUACCCCCAGCCAAUGAUAAUGACAAUCUAGAAGGAUGCACUUCAAGAAGGGAUGACAAUACAUCAAAUAUCAAUCGUCCUAUUCAUUGUUCUUCACGAGUCCCACAACAUGAGGUAAAUUUUGAUGAACUUCCAUAUGAUCCAGCUGACAGAAGGAGAAUAUCAGAUUAUAUAGGCCCUGAUCUACAAGAUGACAUAAGGCGAAAGUAUUUGACUAGAGGUCCUUGUAGACCGCCACCUGGUUUUAAGUUUCCACAAACGAUCAUAGCAGGUCAUCCCCGUCGGUGUCAAGCUGAAUGGUUCACUACAUAUGGCUGGUUAGAGUAUAGUGAGAAGGUGGAUAAGUGUUUUUGUUUACAAUGUUACUUGUUCAGAGAUUUCAACAAAGGCCAAGGUGGGAAUGAUGCAUUUGUAAUAAAUGGUUGGGAUGGCUGGAACAAAUCUGAUAGGCUUCGAGAUCAUGUCGGCAACAAAUGCAAUAGUUUUCAUAACACGGCUGUGAAGAGAUGUGACAAUCUUUUGAAGCCUGGACAAUCUAUUGGAAAUGUUUUUAACAAACAGACCACUGUCAGUAAAGAGGAACAUCUGAUUAGAUUAAAGACUUCCAUCAAAGCUGUUCGUUACUUGUUGCAUCAACUUGCAGAUAUGAUUGCUUGAACCCAAUUAUUGACUUACAACUUGCAGAGUUUAAUGAUCGUUUUAAUGAGGUGAACUCUCAUUUGCUUACUCAAAUUGCUGCUUUCAACCCCAAGAAUUCUUUUGAGGCCUUCAAAGUUGAGAGUUUAAUAGAGUUGGCUAAGUCAUACCCUGAUGAUUUUGAUUCAACACAAUUGAAGGAUCUUAGUCGUGAGCUUAACUUUUUCAUUGAUAAUGUGCGAGCUGAUGAAAGAUUUUCUAGCUUGAUCUCUAAUUCUGCACUUGCAAGGCUGAUGGUGGAUACAACAAAACAUACGAGUUUUCCUUUGGUCUAUCGACUUCUCAAGCUAGUACUGGUUCUUCCAAUCGCCACUGCAUCGGUUGAGAGGUGCUUUUCAGCGAUGAAAAUUGUGAAGACAAUGUUAAGAAAUCGUAUUGGAGAUGGAUUUAUGAAUGAUUGUAUCAUAUGCUUCGUGGAACCAGGAUUUCUAGCCACAAUUCCAACUGAUGAUGUGAUAGUUCGCUUUCAUAAGAUGGAGGACCGUACCCGUAGAGGAAAAAUAUAGAAGGUAUGUAAAUACUAUUGCAAAAGCUUAUUUGUCACAAUAUGUUGCUUUUCUUUUUUAAACUAUCGAUGUUAUGCAUGACA